GAUGAACGCUGGCGGCGUGCCUAAUACAUGCAAGUCGAGCGAACAGACAAGGAGCUUGCUCCUUUGACGUUAGCGGCGGACGGGUGAGUAACGCGUGGGUAACUUACCUAUAAGACUGGGAUAACUUCGGGAAACCGGAGCUAAUACCGGAUAAUAUUUCGAACCGCAUGGUUCGAUAGUGAAAGAUGGUUUUGCUAUCACUUAUAGAUGGACCCGCGCCGUAUUAGCUAGUUGGUAAGGUAACGGCUUACCAAGGCGACGAUACGUAGCCGACCUGAGAGGGUGAUCGGCCACACUGGAACUGAGACACGGUCCAGACUCCUACGGGAGGCAGCAGUAGGGAAUCUUCCGCAAUGGGCGAAAGCCUGACGGAGCAACGCCGCGUGAGUGAUGAAGGUCUUCGGAUCGUAAAACUCUGUUAUUAGGGAAGAACAUACAUGUAAGUAACUAUGCACGUCUUGACGGUACCUAAUCAGAAAGCCACGGCUAACUACGUGCCAGCAGCCGCGGUAAUACGUAGGUGGCAAGCGUUAUCCCGGAAUAUUGGGCGUAAAGCGCGCGUAGGCGGUUUUUUAGUCUGAUGUGAAAGCCCACGGCUCAACCGUGGAGGGUCAUUGGAAACUGUAAAACUUGAGUGCAGAAGAGGAAAGUGGAAUUCCAUGUGUAGCGGUGAAAUGCGCAGAGAUAUGGAGGAACACCAGUGGCGAAGGCGACUUUCUGGUCUGUAACUGACGCUGAUGUGCGAAAGCGUGGGGAUCAAACAGGAUUAGAUACCCUGGUAGUCCACGCCGUAAACGAUGAGUGCUAAGUGUUAGGGGGUUUCCGCCCCUUAGUGCUGCAGCUAACGCAUUAAGCACUCCGCCUGGGGAGUACGACCGCAAGGUUGAAACUCAAAGGAAUUGACGGGGACCCGCACAAGCGGUGGAGCAUGUGGUUUAAUUCGAAGCAACGCGAAGAACCUUACCAAAUCUUGACAUCCUUUGACAACUCUAGAGAUAGAGCCUUCCCCUUCGGGGGACAAAGUGACAGGUGGUGCAUGGUUGUCGUCAGCUCGUGUCGUGAGAUGUUGGGUUAAGUCCCGCAACGAGCGCAACCCUUAAGCUUAGUUGCCAUCAUUAAGUUGGGCACUCUAAGUUGACUGCCGGUGACAAACCGGGGGAAGGUGGGGAUGACGUCAAAUCAUCAUGCCCCUUAUGAUUUGGGCUACACACGUGCUACAAUGGACAAUACAAAGGGCAGCGAAACCGCGAGGUCAAGCAAAUCCCAUAAAGUUGUUCUCAGUUCGGAUUGUAGUCUGCAACUCGACUACAUGAAGCUGGAAUCGCUAGUAAUCGUAGAUCAGCAUGCUACGGUGAAUACGUUCCCGGGUCU
rnacentral:rRNA from 1 species